rnacentral:rRNA from 1 species
ACCCAAUAGAUACCCGGGUAGUCCUGGCAGUAAACGGUGCACGUUUGGUGUGGGGGGAUUCGACCCCUCCGCGCCGGAGCUAAACGCGUUAAAACGUAGCCGCCUGGGAAGUACGGUCGCAAGAUUAAAGCUCAAAGAAAUUGACGGGACCCGCACAAGCGGUGGAGUAUGUGGCUUAAUUCGAUGCAACGCGAAGAACCUUACCUGGGUUUGACAUGCACUGUGUCCCGAUGAAAGUCGGGUAGCAUGGCAAUAUGCGCUUUGCACAGGUGCUGCAUGGCUGUCGUCAGCUCGUGUCGUGAGAUGUUGGGUUAAAGUCCCGCAACGAGCGCAACCCCUGUGAUUUGUUGCCACCCGGUUUUCCGGAGCACUCGAAUCAGACUGCCUAGAUCAACUAGGAGGAAGGUGGGACGACGUCAAGUCCGUAUGGCCCUUACACCCAGGGCUGCACA